UUGGAAAGUUUCCAAAUUUAUCCAGUCAACUCUCCCUGGAUUAUAGGAGAAAUUUCUGUAAUUAUGUAAAUAUUCUUAGGAGAUAUUCUAGGAGAUUUGUUAGCAAUUCUUAUCCUUGUAGUCUAUAAGACAUACGGAUUGUACCUUAUUUUAAAAAAUAAGAAAUACCAUUCCAAUU